GGUGACAGCCCCGUACACAAAAGCGCAUGUGCUGUGAGCUCGAUGAGUAGGGCGGGACACGUGGUAUCCUGUCUGAAUAUGGGGGGACCAUCCUCCAAGGCUAAAUACUCCUGACUGACCGAUAGUGAACCAGUACCGUGAGGGAAAGGCGAAAAGAACCCCGGCGAGGGGAGUGAAAAAGAACCUGAAACCGUGUACGUACAAGCAGUGGGAGCCCCACCACCAAAGCAUUCUCUGGUGUUGAAGGCCCUGCAAAGCAGCAUCGCGGUGGCGGAGCGUCGUUUGCGACGCCCAACACACAAAACAAGCGGUGAGUGCUUUGGGGUGGGGUGACUGCGUACCUUUUGUAUAAUGGGUCAGCGACUUAUAUUCUGUAGCAAGGUUAACCGAAUAGGGGAGCCGGAGGGAAACCGAGUCUUAACCGGGCGUUAAGUUGCAGGGUAUAGACCCGAAACCCGGUGAUCUAGCCAUGGGCAGGUUGAAGGUUGGGUAACACUAACUGGAGGACCGAACCGACUAAUGUUGAAAAAUUAGCGGAUGACCUGUGGCUGGGGGUGAAAGGCCAAUCAAACCGGGAGAUAGCUGGUUCUCCCCGAAAGCUAUUUAGGUAGCGCCUCGUGAAUUCAUCUCCGGGGGUAGAGCACUGUUUCGGCUAGGGGGCCAUCCCGGCUUACCAACCCGAUGCAAACUGCGAAUACCGGAGAAUGUUAUCACGGGAGACACACGGCGGGUGCUAACGUCCGUCGUGAAGAGGGAAACAACCCAGACCGCCAGCUAAGGUCCCAAAGUCAUGGUUAAGUGGGAAACGAUGUGGGAAGGCCCAGACAGCCAGGAUGUUGGCUUAGAAGCAGCCAUCAUUUAAAGAAAGCGUAAUAGCUCACUGGUCGAGUCGGCCUGCGCGGAAGAUGUAACGGGGCUAAACCAUG
rnacentral:rRNA from 1 species